GACGAACGCUGGCGGCGUGCUUAACACAUGCAAGUCGAACGGAAAGGCCCUGCUUUUGUGGGGUGCUCGAGUGGCGAACGGGUGAGUAACACGUGAGUAACCUGCCCUUGACUUUGGGAUAACUUCAGGAAACUGGGGCUCAUACCGGAUAGGAUCUCCUGCUGCAUGGUGGGGGUUGGAAAGUUUCGGCGGUUGGGGAUGGACUCGCGGCUUAUCAGCUUGUUGGUGGGGUAGUGGCUUACCAAGGCUUUGACGGGUAGCCGGCCUGAGAGGGUGACCGGCCACAUUGGGACUGAGAUACGGCCCAGACUCGUACGGGAGGCAGCAGUGGGGAAUAUUGCACAAUGGGCGGAAGCCUGAUGCAGCAACGCCGCGUGCGGGAUGACGGCCUUCGGGUUGUAAACCGAUUUCGCCUGUGACGAAGCGUGAGUGACGGUAAUGGGUAAAGAAGCACCGGCUAACUACGUG
rnacentral:rRNA from 1 species